GACGAACGCUGGCGGCGUGCUUAACACAUGCCAGUCGAACGCUGAAGCUCAGCUUUUGUUGGGUGGAUGAGUGGCGAACGGGUGAGUAACACGUGAGUAACCUGCCUCCUUCUUUGGGAUAACGCCCGGAAACGGGUGCUAAUACUGGAUAUUCACUGGUCUUCGCAUGGGGGUUGGUGGAAAGGGUUUUUCUGGUGGGGGAUGGGCUCGCGGCCUAUCAGCUUGUUGGUGGGGUGAUGGCCUACCAAGGCUUUGACGGGUAGCCGGCCUGAGAGGGUGACCGGUCACAUUGGGACUGAGAGACGGCCCAGACUCCUACGGGAGGCAGCAGUGGGGAAUAUUGCGCAAUGGGCGCAAGCCUGAUGCAGCGACGCGGCGUGAGGGAUGGGGGCCCUCGGGUUGUGAACCUCUUUCGCUCAUGGUCAAGCCGCAACAAUGGUUGUGGUGAGGGUAGUGGGUAAAGAAGCGCCGGCUAACUACGUG
rnacentral:rRNA from 1 species